AGCACUACCCCUUUGUCCAAGUGCCUUAUAACAUGUCUUUAUAACUGGCUGUGUAAGAAUGAAGAAAAGCUGUCCAUCUUCUGAGAAGGAAGCAGCAUGUGCCAUCCUUCUGUCAGAAAACACCAAAGAGAUGAAGAAAUGAGAAAUCCAGAAACCAAAGACCUUGCUCUUUUGUCAAACAGACUUGGUAGAGCAGAGUUGCAAAAUCAGACCUUUGGGGGCUUGCGUGUUUCUCCUCUUACUCCCUGGUAAGCCCUGCCUUGAACUUCAGGCUGCCUGGCUUGGAUCCUGAUGCUGCUUUGCUGACACAAUCCAUUCUCCCAGGGAACACCCAGAGUUCCACUCCAGCCCUGGCAACGCUGCAGCAGAGGCCAACUGUACGGAAAGUCUACAUUGGCUCGGAACAAUUGAGGCUGGGAGAGGCUGGUGAUUUCCUGCUUGGUCGUCUUUUAAAACCCAGCCAUCUGAAUCCGAGAGUUGCUUCUUCAGCAAGGCCUCCCCUGACUCCUUCAGAUGUCUAAGCACCACCCCUACUCUUCUGCUGCAGCAUCUCCACUUGCUUUUGUCCUUCAUCUCCCUGAAAUUAUUUGCUUACUCAUCCAUCCAUGUCAGUUGCAAAAGCAUGACUUCCUCUAGUCCAAAGGCCAUUCAUGUUCAAUAUGUUAGCACUCGGAGCGUCUCCAGUGGUUGUUUCAAACAAGGCAAAUGAGUUCAGUUGAACUUUAUAUGUUCUGCCCUCCGACUGUGACUGUUAUUUACUUCCCUCCAAACAAAAUGUAAUAAUAAAAUGACUAACUGAACACUGCCCUUUA
rnacentral:lncRNA from 1 species